AGCUUUGCGCAGUGGCAGUAUCGUAGCCAAUGAGGUUUAUCCGAGGCGCGAUUAUUGCUAAUAGAAGAGAAGUUCAGGGGUGCCUGGGUGCUUGGUUGAGCACCCAACUCUUGAUUUCAGCUCAGGUCAUGAUCUCAGAGUUG